rnacentral:rRNA from 1 species
UGGGGAAUAUUGCACAAUGGGGGGAACUCUGAUGCAGCGACGCCGCGUGAGUGAUGAAGGACUUCGUUUCGUAAAACUCUGUUCUAUGGGAAGAAAAGGACUGUACCAUAGGAGAAAGCUCCGGCUAAAUACGUGCCAGCAGCCGCGGUAAUACGUAUGGAGCGAGCGUUGUCCGGAAUUAUUGGGCGUAAAGGGUGCGCAGGCGGCUUUACAAGUUGGAUGUGAAAUAUUGUGGCUCAACCACAAACGUGCAUCCAAAACUGCAAAGCUUGAGUUAAGGAGAGGUAAGUGGAAUUCCUGGUGUAGCGGUGGAAUGCGUAGAUAUCAGGAGGAAUACCGGUGGCGAAGGCGACUUACUGGACUUAAACUGACGCUCAGGCACGAAAGCGUGGGGAGCAAACAGG